CACCAUAAAGGAUAGAAAGUUGCUUGCCUAAAACUGGUACAACAGGUGAAAUUUCUCACAGCUGUUUUCAGCUCUUGAGAACACUUCUGCCUUCUCCUACCACCCCAACACCAUGGCAGGUGUCCCCAGUUAGCAUCAGGCAAGCAAUAGAAGAGUGAUUUCAUUCCCCCUUACAAACUGCAACCGAUGUUUCUGUGAAGGAGUGGUUAGAAGAUACAGCUUUUGAUAAGAUACUGCAACAAUGAAUGCGGUCAUGUUUGGGAGCUCCUCGGCUACUGCGGUGUUGCAAGCUAUAUGAGGAAGAGGUCACUUCAGAAUGAAGUUAAGUGCUACCGCUCCCUUCCUCAGGGGCAGAGAAGACUGAGACGGCUGAGCAGAGGUUAUGUGUUGGGUCAGUCUGACAAAUCGGCAGCUUUGGGCUGAUUGGGAUCUGUUUCCAAUGAGGGCCAGUUAAAUAUGUGCACAAUCCAGCUUCGAACGUAGUCCUGCAUGUGAAUUAAACUCUACAAAACACUGUUAAUUUGAAUUUUACUGUGUAAAAUCAGAACCAGUGGAUGUCUCCCCACUGUCCUGCUUUGCUAGCCAUGUCUACUCUGUGUCGUUCAGCCAACUGACUCCUGACUGAAGCAGCCUGCUGUUCAGCUGGCUGUGCAGGACACAGACCGGUUUUGUUUCAAGCAUGUAAAUCGGAGGGGAGCAGAAGAACCACUUUGUUCCCCAGCCCUGCCCCCGGGUAUAUAAAUAGCCGCCUGGGUGGCUGCUGGAGUGCCUCUCAUUCCAGAGAUCUUUGGCCACCCUCUUAUCAAAACAGAAAGACUGACUUCACUCCCGUUCUCUGCCGACUGAUUUCAUGCUGGAAACAGGUAAGGAGGCCGUGGCCAUCGUCCUUGAAUUGGCCACCUACAUCCAGAGGUCAAGCAAAGAGAAACGCGCUGCCAACAUUCCUCCUUCACAAAAUAAGCCGGUGCUUGAGCAGUCCCGGCUGACAAAUGUUCUCCAGAGCGAUGCAGAGCAACCAUCCCAGGCGGGCUAACAAGGGGUAUCGAGCUACAGUGCUGGGGAAGAUGCGAAAUGCGAGACAAAGCCUGGUGCCAAUUUUAAAUGCUGGAGCUGGGGAAGGUUUCCACUGGAUGGUGAAAGGUCUGGGUCACUGACCAAUGGUGGCCCUGGGCACCUGGGGGAGGACAGGGCUGUUGUCCCAGUUCUGGUGCUUGGGAGGCUGGCAUUUACACCCGACACCAUGAUUUGGUGAAACCUUACUGUCAGCAUCAAAAUUUCCUGCCUGCUUUCAUCUUCUUAGGAGUGAUAAGAGCUUAGAGGCAAUGGGUGGUGGCUAAAACCUUUCACUUAUCCCCUUUCUGCUUUCACUUUAUUUUUUCCUUCCUCCUCCUUUCUGUUGCUUUAAUUAGUCCCUAAUAUACGUUGAUAUCUUGUCCCUAAUAUACGUUGAUAUCUUGUCCCUAAUAUACGUUGAUAUCUUGUCCCUAAUAUACGUUGAUAUCUUGUCCCUAAUAUAUGUUGAUAUCACGUCUCAGAGACACUGCGGCUACCCUCGUGCAAGCGGGGUCACGCAUUUGACAUGUACACCGUGCCACAGAUGAUUGAUGCCACCCUUCUGUCACUGUCACGUUUCCUCUAAAACACGAGCUAAGAGGGUGAGGGGGUUGUAUCCCUGUGCUUCAGAGAGUUGUUCUCAUAGGAAGAGAAGGCAAGCACAGGCCGGUGCCUGGCUAAUGCACCGCAGACACCUCGUGCUCCUCCAAAGUGCUGUCAGCUCCUGGUUAUCCCUGGAUUGAUGGUGCAGGCUGCAAGUCCCACCUGUAGCUGCACAGAUGCUGUGGGCUGCACAAGGCAGCUGCAGCAGGUCCUGCUUCACUUGCAGGUGUUUGAAUUGUCCUUCCUCUACAGAAAACAUUUUUCUAUAGCUGGGGAAAAACAUAGUAAAUGUGCUCUUAGAGAGUCACCUAGGUCUCCACAAUUUGGAGUUAUCCUUAAUUGUGCCAUCACCUCACUGAUGGGAAGCACAGAGAGAGAUUUGCCUCUGAACAGCUUUAUUUCUUUUCCUCGUUCCUUAAUCUAUGUAAGCCUUCUUCUAACAAAACUAAAAAAAAAAAAAAGUCUACCACACUGUUUUUUCUCCAUCUAUUUUUUGGUUUCCUAUCCUGUUUUAUGACAAGCCACUGUUGAUGCUGUUCUUUACUUCUGCUGCUUUGCCAACACUGACAGCAUCACGUUUGGUAUCCAGGAAGACAUUGUGAAAUAUCUUCAUUUUUUAGUACUAGCACUGUUUCCUUCUUCAUGCAGACCUCUGGGUGGGUUUUGACUCCUGGUGGCUCUGCUCUGAACUUCACUACAGACCAUGCUCACAGCACCUCUGCUUGCUUUAUUUAUUUUCUGAAGCAUAGCUUAUUGGGCUUGGCAAAGGCAACUCUCAUCAGACCAGCCUCAUAGCUUUCUUGCCAACUGCUGGCAUAAACAAAAGAAACAUGUCCUCUCCCAGCUUUAGUGUGGCAUCUGAUGUCUUCCCCCAAUUCUGACACUGCUGAAGACCAUCAUUUUUACGUAAGAUAUGCAGGAAGACAACAGCAGGCAAUGCUGCAAAAUAAAGGACCAAGCAGAAAGCAGUUGAUGGAGUUUAUAUGCACUCACAUAUGUAAACUUAUACAGAGGUAUGUAUAGAUAAAUUGAAAGGUCUGGAAAUCAUUCUUAAUGUUUUCCUUAGUGAACUAGGCAUAAAGACUACAAGUUUGCUGGUGAAACUUGUGGAUGGUGAAAAGUUGGGAGGCACUAUCAGGAGGAUGGAAAACGUAAAAAAUGUUAUGGGAAGGAAAUAAACCAAAUGAAAUUAAUUUCAGAAGCAUAGAUGGCUAAAGAAUGCAUAUGGAGAUUGCCAUCAAUAAUUGCUGUUAGUCUGAAAAAGCAGAAGCUGAAGAUAGAAGUGGAAAUAAAAUGAAACAGGCAACUUCAUGGUACCUCUGAAGCACUGGUAUAAUUUUUUUCAGACAAGGAAAUAUCCUGGAAUACAUUGAACGAAAUGUUUCCAGUGGAGAUAUUAAUUCUGUUACAGAAGAUGACAUUGGGAAGGUGUUCCCAGGAUGCUAUAUAUGAUUCUGAUGUCUCACGUUUAGGGAAAAUACAAAUCUGAACAGGUGUAAAGAAAGGCUACUGAGAUCAUCGGGAGAGCCACGAUCUUUCCUUACAAACAGAGGCAAGGCAAGCUCAACUCGCGUAGCCUAGGAAAAUUAAGGUUGACAAGGGAUAUGAUUUCCAUCUAAAAAUACGCAGGCAGUGGAACUAUUGAGAGGGAGAAGAACAAUUUAAAUUUGUCUGUGACUAAACUUAGGCUGGAAAUCAGAUGCACUUUCCUGAUCAUUAAAACAGAGGCAAGGACAGCCUUCCAAUAUGAACAGCUGGGACAAAAAAAAAGCACCAUUUUAAAGAUCUAAUUUUGGUAGUGAAGAAAAUGUUAUAGCACCUUAGGAGGGAGAGGCAGGGGCUCAGUGAUGCUUUGUGUUCAUCUGAUUCCUGCAUCUACACGAGGAAUGUGUAGGGAGGUGACAGUCUCAAUGUUGCUAGAGAUGCAGGAUGUCCCUUCGGUUGUGCCUUUGGUACCUUCUGUUAUUCUUCACUUAUGUCCAACGUUUCAGCCCAAAAUAUUGGCACAGUCCAGGCUUCAUUCUUCUGCCUGUGACACCCAGAUCUAUGCGGCAGCUAACCUUGCAGAACUGACAAGGAACAGGAGUUUUCACAAGCAGCAAGAGGGAUAUAAAUCACUUUAACAUAAUUCACACAUAAAUAUGGUGCUGGUGAGUGUAAAUUUGGUACAAAUUCUUCAAAUGUAUAAAUAUGAAUGUCUCUGUUUCUUUUUCUCUCCGUUUCCCUUUGUCAGUAAAGAUUAGAUGUCUUUUAUUUACUGUGGGAAUAGCUAUUACUUGCUUUAAUAUUUCUUGUUGCCAGUGGCUAAAAAUAAGAGUUCCUUGACAUGUUUUCAGGUCUCACUGCUCUCAUGGAUAGUUUAUUUUACUUUAUUUAUUUAUUUUUCCCCAGAGAAAUAUAAGUUUAGAGGUGGUAGCAAAGGCCUAGAGAGGCUUCUCUAAAUGCUGUUUUUUUGUUUGUUUGUUUGUUUUGUUUUUAAUGUGUUUACCUAAAUGGUUAUAAUGGUUAGAUCAGUCAGUGCAAUAGGCAAGCUAUGUUUGUUUAUUUAGUUAUUUUCUGUACCUUUGUAAAUGCAUUGUUGGACCUGUUGAUACAUUUUAAUUUCACCAGUUUGGACUACAUUGAUAUUUCUAACAGUAUAAAAAACAAACAAACAACAGAAAAAGGCCACAUAGAAUCAGCUGCAGUGCUUUGACUGACUUACAAUGACAGCCCCAAAGGGCAUUUUCAGACCACCUCUGGCCAAACUGCAAAUGGAUCUUGGGAAAAGGCUGCCUGUGGCUGUUGAUGACUGAAUUGGUGGUGCUGGUGGGAAUACAGGAGAAAUGGUGUCAGGGUUGAGUUGUGCCAGGCUGCUCCCCAGCUGCCAGGCAAAGCGCUCAUCAUGCUCCAGCUUGCACCCAUCCCCUCCCUUGCAAUACCUUACAUAAAAGAUUAGAGGCUGAGCUGCACCUCUUCUCCCAUGGCAUUAAUUAAUAUAAAUAACUGCAUGGAUCACUCUGAAGGGUUGGAUGUUUACCUGCCAAGCCCUACAUAAUUGGUGAUCGUGGCGGAUGUCAAGCCUUGCUUUGAGACAUCACUCAGCAAGCCCUUCCUGAGCAGCUGAUGGACUGCUAUUAAACCACACCAAGCCAUGGAUUCCUGCAGAAACUCUUCCCUGCCAUUAAGGAAAAGGAAAUUUUAAAGAGUGAAGCGGGUAGAUGAUUGAAGUAGCUGCUCCUGUAUCGUGCUAGGCUGUCUCAAAAAUGGGAAACAUGAAGUCUGAGGGUUUUUUCCAUGCAUUUGUGUGGUUUAAGGAACAGCAAGGGGUAUGACAGUCUGGGGUAGGGUAAUCUGGUAGUCGAGAGCUGCACAGGAAUUUGGAAGAACUGGUUUCAUUUCUUCCUCUGAGAGUUGAUUCCUUGCACAUAUAAAUGUUUACUGCCUGUGGACACCAGCUGUACCUGGUGGCAAGUGCUUCACAGGGCCCAGGGGUGGUGUGUGUCCACCUCACUGGUGUUGUGAUGAUGUUAUGCUUAUUUUGGUGUGGGGAAUUCUUUUUCUUCUUGAUGUAAGAGAAGUUUGUGAAGAGUGCGAUGAUUGUAAAGUAAGAGAAUACUGUGGUUAUUCUUAAAUAUGCUUUUCACAGAGGUGAGGGGUGGAAUGUAGUGGGUUUAUGUGGCAAGGUUUUGGCAGCAGGGGGCCAUAGGGGUGGCUUCUGUGAGAAGAAUCUAGAAGCUG